UUCAUUCAGUGAAAAGUCUGGAGAGGAACCUGCAGUGGGUAGAGGUUAAGUCCUCCUUCAUCUUCCCUUGGGGAGAUUUGUAUUCAACUCUGACCGAAAUCAGAAUGAUUUAGGUGAAAUAGGUGUUAUUUUGAAACCGUAAUGACUAUUAAGAUAGAACAGAAAAUUAAAAAACAAGUGUGACGGAUAAAGGCUUUUUAAUUGUAUUAACAUUAUUUAUUAAUUUUAUUAUCAUUGUCUCUGUGUGUAAAGGUUCAAAGCUUUUCUAUACCCACGCCCUUGCUCUGAAAUAAGUAGUAACAUGAAGAUGUGGUGUAUUUAUUAAUAAGCUUCUUGUACUAUAGCUGGGCUCACAUGUAUUAUAACCCAACUUUGCUGCCUCGUGACGAUUCCCUGCCGACUCCCUGAUACAGUCCCCUCCCCACCAGAGACCCUCUCAUUGGGAUUUGAGGUCCUGCCUCCUCUCCUGCCAAGCUAUUGGCUGAUCAGACCUCUGUUAACCAAUCAGAGGUGAUGGAAAGCACAUUUUUACACAGCCCUGAGGCAGGAGAUGCUUGACAAUGCCCAGCUCUGUUUCCUGUCCUUUGCUUGAUCGCCUCCGUGUGAGAGAGCAUCCUGCUCACUCUCAGAAAGAGCUGCUAUCUUGCCAUACUCACUAAUACCCGGACCACGCUUUAGACACUGGCUUAAACCUCUCAGGUUAACUAGCAUCUUUUUACUUAGUUUAGGUUUCUAAUUUAUGUUUUUGCAUUCUCCAUAUCAGUUUGCUGGAAUCUGCUGACUGAAAUGAGUUAUCCAACUUCCUUGCUGAAGUUGAGAGAUCUGUCAACUUCCUGAGCAUUCUGUGAAGAAGUGAUUGGAAGAACUCUCAUCGUCACAUCAUCAACAUCAUCCCUAUCACCACCAUCAUCGCUAUCAUUAUCAUUAUCAUCACCAUCACCACCACCACCAUCAUCAUCUGACUUUAAUCAUGCUAUCCUCAUAACACAUGUUAACUACGGAAUAGUUCUCUCAUAGACACAUAGGGGAACAAGAUCAGUCCUCUGAGUAGUGAGUAGCCUCGUCCCGUGGACAAAAUGGUGAAGGUUGGUGUUGAACAGAUUUGGCCGUAUUGGGCGCCCGGUUACCAGGGCUGCCGUCUGCUCUCCACAUGGCAAAGUGGAGAUUGUUGCCAUUAACGACACCUUCAUUGACCUCAACUACAUGGUCUACAUGUUCCAGUAUGAUUCCACCCAUGGCAAAUUCAACGGCACAGUCAAGGCUGAGAAUGGGAAAGCUUGCCAUCAAUGAGAAGCCCAUCACCAUCUUCCAGGAGCGAGACCCCACUAACAUCAAGUGGGGUGACACCGGUGCUGAGUAUGUCUACUGGCAUCUUCACCACCAUGGAGAAGGCCAAGGCCCACUUGAAGGGUGGAGCCAAAAGGACCAUCAUCUCCGCCCCUUCUGCCGAUGCCCCCAUGUUUGUGAUGGGUAUGAACUCACUCAAGAUUGUCAGCAAUGCAUCCUGCAUCACCAUCUGCUUAGCGCCCCGCCCCCCCACUUCCCCGGCCAUGCAUCACUGCCACUCAGAAGACUGUGGAUGGUCCCUCUGGAAAGCUGUGGCGUGAUGGCCGUGGGGCUGCCCAGAACAUCAUCUCUGCAUCCACUGGUGCUGCCAAGGCUGUGGGCAAGGUCAUCCCAGAGCUGAACGGGAUGAACUGGCAUGGCCUUCCGUGUUCCUACCCCCAAUGUGUCCGUCGUGGAUCUGACGUGCCACCUGGAGAAGCCUGCCAAGUAUGAAGACAUCAAGAAUGUUGUGAAGCAGGUAUCUGAAGGCCAUUCUGGGCUACACUGAGGACCAGGUUCUCUCCUGCGACUUCAACAGCAACUCCCACUCUUCCACCUUUGAUGCUGGGACUGGCAUUGCUCUCAAUGACAACUUUGUCAAGCUCAUUUCCUGGUAUGACAAUCAAUACGGCUAUAGCAACAGGGUGGUUGCUCAUGGCCUACAUGGCCUCCAAGGAGUAAGAAAUCCUGGACCACCCACCCCAGCAAGGACACUGAGAGGAAGAGAGAGGCCCUCGGUUGCUGAGGAGUCCUUAUCCCAACUCAGUCCCCAACACUGAGCAUCUUCCUCACAAUUUCCACCCCAGGCUUCCAUAAUAAGAGGAGGGGCCUAGGGAGCCCUCCCUACUCUCUUGAA
rnacentral:lncRNA from 1 species